rnacentral:rRNA from 1 species
AGGCAGCAGUGGGGAAUAUUGGGCAAUGGGCGCAAGCCUGACCCAGCAACGCCGCGUGAAGGAAGAAGGCUUUCGGGUUGUAAACUUCUUUUGACAGGGAAGAGCAGAAGACGGUACCUGUCGAAUAAGCCACGGCUAACUACGUGCC